rnacentral:misc_RNA from 1 species
AACGGUCUAUACCUGCGGUACCUGCGGAAGGAUCAUUACAUGAUUUGAGGGGGCUCACGUCCCCUCAUCCAACCCACAAACCCCGAGGAACUUUUAUGUCGAGUGGUUCGGCGCUCUCUUUGAGAGCCGCCCCUCAAACGCAUCGCAGGCUUUUCGUGAAGGUCUGAUGCGUCACAUCGUGAGUAUUAAAACUUUCAACAACGGAUCUCU